UACGUAGGGUGCGAGCGUUGUCCGGAAUUAUUGGGCGUAAAGAGCUCGUAGGCGGUGUGUCACGUCGGCCGUGAAAAACCUGCAGCUUAACUGUGGGCGUGCGGUCGAUACGGGCAUCACUGGAGUUCGGCAGGGGGAGACUUGGAAUUCCUGGUGUAGCGGUGAAAUGCGCAGAUAUCAGGAGGGAACACCGGUGGCGAAGGCGGGUCUCUGGGCCGAUACUGACGCUGGAGGGAGCGAAAGCCGUGGGAGCAAA
rnacentral:rRNA from 1 species